UACGUAGGGUGCGAGCGUUAAUCGGAAUUACUGGGCGUAAAGCGUGCGCAGGCGGUUCGUUGUGUCUGAUGUGAAAGCCCCGGGCUUAACUUGGGAAUGGCAUUGGAAACUGGCGAGCUAGAGUGUGGCAGAGGGGGGUGGAAUUCCGCGUGUAGCAGUGAAAUGCGUAGAGAUGCGGAGGAACACGGAUGGCGAAGGCAGCCCCCUGGGCUGACACUGACGCUCAGGCACGAAAGCGUGGGGAGCAAACAGG
rnacentral:rRNA from 1 species